UACGUAGGGUGCAAGCGUUGUCCGGAAUUAUUGGGCGUAAAGAGCUCGUAGGCGGUCUGUUGCGUCGGCUGUGAAAACCCGAGGCUCAACCUCGGGCCUGCAGCCGAUACGGGCAGACUAGAGUUCGGCAGGGGAGACUGGAAUUCCUGGUGUAGCGGUGAAAUGCGCAGAUAUCAGGAGGAACACCGGUGGCGAAGGCGGGUCUCUGGGCAGUAACUGACGCUGAUGCACGAAAGCUAGGGGAGCAAACAGG
rnacentral:rRNA from 1 species